GACGAACGCUGGCGGCGUGCCUAAUCCAUGCAAGUCGAACGCAGUGGGGACGGGUGAGUAACACGUGGGUAACCUCCCAUCAGAGGGGAUAACACUUGGAAACAGGUGCUAAACCGAUACUGAUGGAUGGACCCGCGGUGCAGUAGCUAGUUGGUGAGGUAACGGCGCCCCAAGGCCACGAUGCAUAGCCGACCUGGGAGGGUGAUCGGCCACACUGUGACUGAGACACGCACCAGACUCCUACGGGAGGCAGCAGUAGGGAAUCUUCGGCAAUGGACGAAAGUCUGACGGAGCAACGCCGCGUGUGUGAAUAAGGUUUUCGGAUCGUAAAACUCUGUUGGUAGAGAAGCGGUAUCUAACCAGAAAGCCACGGCUAACUCCGUGCCAGCAGCCGCGGUAAUAC
rnacentral:rRNA from 1 species